AGUGAAAGCGUGGGGAGUGAACAUGAUUAGAUAUCUUGGUACUCCACGCUGUAAACGAUGAGUGCUAAGUGUUAGGGGGUCUCCGCCCCUUAGUGCUGCAGAUAACGCAUUAAGCACUCCGCCUGGGGAGUACGGUCGCAAGACUGAAACUCAAAGGAAUUGACGGGGGCCCGCACAAGCGGUGGAGCAUGUGGUUUAAUUAGAAGCAACGCGAAGAACCUUACCAGGUCUUGACAUCCUCUGACAACCCUAGAGAUAGGGCUUUCCCUUCGGGGACAGAGUGACAGGUGGUGCAUGGUUGUCGUCAGCUCGUGUCGUGAGAUGUUGGGUUAAGUCCCGCAACGAGCGCAACCCUUGAUCUUAGUUGCCAGCAUUCAGUUGGGCACUCUAAGGUGACUGCCGGUGACAAACCGGAGGAAGGUGGGGAUGACGUCAAAUCAUCAUGCCCCUUAUGACCUGGGCUACACACGUGCUACAAUGGACAGAACAAAGGGCUGCAAGACCGCAAGGUUUAGCCAAUCCCAUAAAUCUGUUCUCAGUUCGGAUCGCAGUCUGCAACUCGACUGCGUGAAGCUGGAAUCGCUAGUAAUCGCGGAUCAGCAUGCCGCGGUGAAUACGUUCCCGGGCCUUGUACACACCGCCCGUCACACCACGAGAGUUUGCAACACCCGAAGUCGGUGAGGUAACCUUUAUGGAGCGCA
rnacentral:rRNA from 1 species